rnacentral:rRNA from 1 species
UCAGCCGCCGCGGUAAUACGUAGGUUGCGAGCGUUGUCCGGAUUUACUGGGCGUAAAGCGCGCGCAGGCGGUUCCGAAAGUCGAAUGUGAAAGCUCCUGGCCCAACUGGGAGAGGCCGUUCGAAACUUCGGAACUUGAAGGCGGGAGAGGCAGAUGGAAUUUCCGGUGUAGCGGUAAAAUGCGUAGAUACCGGAAGGAACACCAGUGGCGAAAGCGAUCUGCUGGCCCGCCCUUGACGCUCAGGCGCGAAAGCUAGGGGAGCGACCGGGAUUAGAUACCCCGUUAGUCCUAGCUGUAAACAAUGGGCACUAGGUGUUGUCGGUAUCGACCCCGGCAGUGCCGUAGCUAACGCAUUAAGUGCCCCGCCUGGGGAGUACGGCCGCAAGGCUAAAACUCAAAGGAAUUGACGGGGGCCCGCACA